CAAAGCAUAGCUUAACUCUAAAGCAUCUAGCUUACACCUAGAAGAUUUCAUAUAAAUAUGACUGCUUUGAG
rnacentral:tRNA from 2 species